rnacentral:rRNA from 1 species
AACGAACGCUGGCGGCAGGCUUAACACAUGCAAGUCGAGCGCCCCGCAAGGGGAGCGGCAGACGGGUGAGUAACGCGUGGGAAUCUACCCAUCUCUACGGAAUAACGCAUGGAAACGUGUGCUAAUACCGUAUACGUCCUUCGGGAGAAAGAGUUAUCGGAGGUGGAUGAGCCCGCGUUGGAUUAGCUGGUUGGUGGGGUAAAGGCCUACCAAGGCGACGAUCCAUAGCUGGUCUGAGAGGAGGAUCAGCCACACUGGGACUGAGACACGGCCCAGACUCCUACGGGAGGCAGCGUUGGGGAAUAUUGGACAAUGGGCGCAAGCCUGAUCCAGCCAUGCCGCGUGAGUGAUGAAGGCCCUAGGGUUGUAAAGCUCUUUCACCGGUGAAGAUAAUGACGGUAACCGGAGAAGAAGCCCCGGCUAACUUCGUGCCAGCCGCCGCCGUAAGAC